rnacentral:ncRNA from 18 species
UUGAAUAAAUAGUAUACAGGUGUCAGAACAAUGCGGGAAAUGAGCAUUGGUUUUGGUGAAAAGGGAAACAGGUGCAAAUCCUGUACGAACUCGUCACCGUAAUUAGGGAGUAGAAGCCGAUAUGUCACUGGGAAUUAAAUAAAUCCUUUCCUGGGAAGACGGCUGAUGUGAUGAUCUAUAAGCCGGGAGACCUGCCUGAAUGCUGUACAGAAAC